rnacentral:rRNA from 1 species
GUAACCGGGUGGUUAGGGGUGUCGGCGGUCGGGCGUGGAGAGGGAGGAGGCCAGGAGGGAAAGAGUCGGCGGUGGGGGUGCUUGGGAUCAGCGCGGGAGGACGUAGACAGGUGGAGGGGGAAGGACUAGGCGGGGUUCGGGGAGGAGCAGAGGAACAGUGUGGGUGGAGUAGUGGUCGCUGCCGGCGCGGAUUUGCGUACUCGAUCGGUUCCUUUUCGCCCCACCGCGCUGCGGGACCAGUAGCCGGCCGGUCCUCGGACGCAUCUCCGCCACCGCCUCUGCUGGGAUCUACCCGGUUCUAGACCUGUCCCGCGGAGUUGGAGCGGAAGGAGAAGGUGGAUGAGUGACUAUCUCUCUGUCGUCGUCGCCACCCUCCUCGGACCCGUAUCUCCUCUCUUCACCUGCUCCCCCCACGUUUCGGUCCUCUACACCCAGCGGCCUACUCGUGUAGGUGUAUCCCGAACUAGGGCGGCGACGGUCUCGUCUCACCUCGUGGUGUGCCCCGGGCUACCCCACCGGCCCUCGCGCACUGUAGGCCGAGGGUUCGUCGAGGGUUCGUCCCUUACGUCGCCACGACCGGAGAGGAGAGGCGCGCGGAAACAGGACGCAGCAGUGAUGGCGGUACCGGAACGAGCGGUAACUGGAGGGGUUCACGAAGAGAGGUGUUUACCACGGCAGUACAGGUAUAGUUUAGUUCGCGGUCCUUUCAUGUUGUGCACGUGUAUUGAACAAACUCCUUUAAGGUAGACCUUCGUUAUAAACUAGUACUGAACACAAGAACUACGAAGUAGACGCCGAUCGAUUGAUGUUGUUGUGUAUACAUUUCCCUUUGGUAGCAUUCUUUGUGUCCUUCUGUAACGUAACAACUUCCUCAGGUAACCCCUGACCUCAGCUACCGGAUGCUGUACCCAUCUGUGCACACGAAGUACUAAUAACAACUAAUUGAGUCUCAUAUACUUACGAAACUUCCUUACUAUACGUAUUAAGUCUGAUUUAGAACGACCACUAUCACUCCUCAAAUAAACCGACAUCGUGAAACUAAGAAAGAGUGACAGUUUCAAACAAGUCAUGAAGAGAGUAUAAAAAAACAAACAAGGUCACACGAUACACGUAGAACGAUCACCGCCCUCACCGUCGGUUCUACUACCCGCGCCCUCGUCGCGUGCACACUCGUUACUGUUCACACAGACGACGGUUGGACACUUCCAACCGAGACGGUUUGGGACGAGAAGGAGAGGCUCCGAGUGUAACGCGCUACCGGUAAUGGUAGAUGCUGAAGUGUUAUCACCACUAUACAGGUAUAAGUACCUUAAAACCCACUAACAUUCCACAACACAACGGUAAUUUAAUCUAACUAAAUAAUUUUGACUUCCUGCCAGCUAAACGACUAGUACGUGACCAUCUUUUUAAAGUUUUUGACAUUGUAUGAAACAUACCAUAAUCUAAAUGAAGAAGUCCUACAAAAACACGGGAAGUACCCACUUAGACAUUGACUACCUUGGGAAAGGUUAAAGAAUUACGAUGACAUGUUUACAUCAGCUCAGUUCGAAAUCCACAAAGUCUUACUUGUGUGUUCAACGAAAGAAUCUAAGUAAAGUUGGUUUUCUUACCCAUUAUACAAAAAGACUUUUGUACCUAUAUGAAGCAUAUUAACCUAGACAUCAAUAACUGUAUCAUAAAUAA